GAUGAAGAACGUAGCGAAAUGCGAUAAGUAAUGUGAAUUGCAGAAUUCAGUGAAUCAUCGAAUCUUUGAACGCACAUUGCGCCCCUCGGUAUUCCGAGGGGCAUGCCUGUUCGAGCGUCAUUAUAACCCUUCAAGCUCAGCUUGGUGUUGGGGCCUGCUGUAACUGGUAGCCCUUAAAAUCAGUGGCAGUGCUAUUAGGCUCUAAGCGUAGUAAUUCUUCUCGGUAUAGUGUGUAGUGAGCGCUUGCCAGAACCCCAAACUUUUAUAUGAUUGACCUCGGAUCAGGUAGGGAUACCCGCUGAACUUAAGCAUAUCAAUAAGCGGAGGA
rnacentral:misc_RNA from 1 species